GUUCCGAAUGACCGUUAUUUUGAACGCUACUCCUUUCAACCCUCCAACACUCAGCUUCGAAUGGAAUAGGGCACAGGGAUGAUCACUACCGAAUGGAUCGCAGCCCUAGUCACGUGGGUCGAGACGCUCCAGCGCUAUAAAAGCGGACGCUCUCUGCUCCUCGCUCUCUUUCUCGCCGCAGCUCUUGCGUGUUAAUGCUUCCCCAGACAUAGAGGACAGAGCCGCUCAAAUAAAGCAUGUUCAUAAUGAAUUCCCAUCGCAGCGCUUGCAAACCACCAUGAUGAACGCUGGAUUCAAUGUGACUUGGUCAUGAUUACCUGCUGGCUGAUUUACUGUGUGAUAAUUACGCGCAGUUAAUGAAAAUGGUGAACGUCUGUAUCUAAACGCUGAUUCAGCACUGAUCAGAUGGAGCUGAAACCACCAUGAAGUGUCCUGAUUCACUUGGAUGAAGCGCUGUACGUAUAAGUAGUGUUUUACUAUAAAUUCAGGGUCUUAAAAGGUGUAAUUCAAUGCUUUUUGGUCAGCAUAGUCAGUUAUAAAGAGAAAAUCUGACCCAAGGUCAGCGUUUAGACGGUUUAUUCAUUCAAGCCUAUGAUGAGAGAAGUUAUCCCUGUCUGAAAAUGUGUGGAGUUUUGGUAGCCUGAGGCUUGUUUAAAUUCUUUAACUUAAAA